CCGGCGCACGGGUGAGUAACGCGUAUGCAACUUGCCUAUCAGAGGGGAUAACCCGGCGAAAGUCGGACUAAUACCGCAUGAAGCAGGGGCCCCGCAUGGGGAUAUUUGCUAAAGAUUCAUCGCUGAUAGAUAGGCAUGCGUUCCAUUAGGCAGUUGGCGGGGUAACGGCCCACCAAACCGACGAUGGAUAGGGGUUCUGAGAGGAAGGUCCCCCACAUUGGUACUGAGACACGGACCAA
rnacentral:rRNA from 1 species